ACGCGUAGGCGGGCUGUCAAGUCUGGGGUGAAAUGCCGCGGCUCAACCGUGGAACUGCCUUAGAUACUGACGGCCUUGAGGAAGGUAGGGGCAUGCGGAACUGUAGGUGGAGCGGUGAAAUGCGUUGAUAUCUACAGGAACUCCGGUGGCGAAAGCGGCGUGCUGGACCUUUUCUGACGCUGAGGCGCGAAAGCUAGGGGAGCAAACGGGAUUAGAUACCCCGGUAGUCCUAGCCCUAAACGAUGGGUACUAGAUAGUAGGCUUGAUAUGGGUUUACUGUCGAAGCUAAAGUGCUAAGUACCCCGCCUGGGGAGUAUGGUCGCAAGGCUGAA
rnacentral:rRNA from 1 species